rfam:Neotoma lepida isolate 417 scaffold_169, whole genome shotgun sequence.
GGGGAGGUGGCUCAGAGGUUAAGAGCACUGACUGUUCUUCCAGAGGUCCUGAGUUCAAUUCCCAGCAACCACA